UAAAGCUUAACAUAGCACACCCUCAAUUUCAUAAACUACACUUAACCCUUCACCACUACUGAACUAUUUUAUAUAAGUAUAAAAGCCAUUAUGCUAGAACUAGUAACAAGAAACUGCCUUUCUCCACAAUGUACCUUUAAACCAGAAUGGACCAACCACUGGUAAUUAACGUAACAGAGAUUAUAGCACACAUACCAAGAAAAACCUAUGAUCCAUUAACGUCAACCUAACAAUAGCACAUUUCUGGAAAGAUUAAAAGAAAAAGAAGGAACUCGGCAAAUCCUAACCCCGCCUGUUUACCAAAAACAUCGCCUCUUGACAAAAUAUAAGAGGUCCAGCCUGCCCAGUGACAUAGUUUAACGGCCGCGGUAUAAUAACCGUGCGAAGGUAGCAUAAUCACUUGUUCUCUAAAUAAGGACUCGUAUCAACGGCAUUACGAGGGUUAUACUGUCUCCUUUCUCUAAUCAGUGAAACUGAUCUUCCCGUGAAGAAGCGGGGAUUAGAUUAUAAGACGAGAAGACCCCAUGGAGCUUUAAACUCAAUACGCACCUCUGUAUGCCUAAACCACUAUAACCUAGGAGACUUGCGCUUUAGUUUUCGGCUGGGGAGACCGCGGAGUAAAACUAAACCUCCACAACAAAUGGGCUAACACCCUUAUCCAUGAGCCACAACUCUAAGAAUCAAUAAAUUGAUGUCCUUGACCCGAUUAUUCGACUAAUGAACCAAGUUACCCUGGGGAUAACAGCGCAAUCUAUUUUAAGAGCCCAUAUCGACAAAUAGGUUUACGACCUCGAUGUUGGAUCAGGGUAUCCUGGUGGUGCAACCGCUACCGAAGGUUCGGUUUGUUCAACGAUUAAAAC
rnacentral:rRNA from 1 species